rnacentral:lncRNA from 1 species
CUCUCUUCCUCCAUCCAACCCAGAAGUCCCACCUACUUGCCCAGUGAUUGGCUCCUUUAUUCAGUAGAGGAUUGGUUCACAAGAAGUCACCUGACUCACUCCUUGUCUGCAACCCCUCCUAGGAGAGCGGAAUUAGCAUCAAAAUACAAACAGCACCAGGCCCAGCCACAACACACACCUGCCUCUGGGAUGGUGUCUGCAGGAAGAACUGCUCCUCUGUUACAGGAAUGGAAGAGCCUUCAAAGGGUCAUGAAGAGAGGUUGUUCAUGGGUCUCUACAUCCCAGGCAAAGAUGAACUCCUGGCCUUUUCGUGGAAGCACAAGGACAGUCUCAGGUAUCUUCUGGGCUAGAGAAGAAAACUUCUUACCCUCCUUGAUCAGCCAGGCCCCUUGAAAGGUGGGCUUCCUUGAUGGAUGAAUUCACCAGAGCUUGCUGCAUCAUUGUCUGUAACCCUGGUGACAGUUCACAUUGCUGCUAGCCAUGGAGGAGGAGGAGGACCCCCCCCCCCCCG